AGAGUUUGAUCAUGGCUCAGGAUGAACGCUAGCGGCAGGCCUAACACAUGCAAGUCGAACGAAGUCUUCGGACUUAGUGGCGCACGGGUGCGUAACGCGUAGACAAUCUACCUCUUACAUAGGGAUAACAUUGGAAAGCUAAUGCUAAUACCUUAUAAUAAUCUGUAUGGCAUCAUAUAGAUUUAAAAGCUUUGGUGGUAAGAGAUGAGUCUGCGUUCCAUUAGUUAGUUGGUAAGGUAAUGGCUUACCAAGACUCCGAUGGAUAGCGGGUCUGAGAGGAUGAUCCGCCACACUGGCACUGAGAUACGGGCCAGACUCCUACGGGAGGCAGCAGUGAGGAAUAUUGGGCAAUGGGCGGAAGCCUGACCCAGCCAUGCCGCGUGUUGGAAGACGGUCUAUAGAUUGUAAACAACUUUUUUCGUGGAAGAAAAGGGCUUUGCGGAGCAGAUUGACGGUACACGAGGAAUAAGCACCGGCUAACUACGUGCCAGCAGCCGCGGUAAUACGUAGGGUGCAAGCGUUGUCCGGAUUUAUUGGGUUUAAAGGGUGCGUAGGCGGUAUAAUAAGUCAUGGGUGAAAGGUCGGCGCUUAACGUUGAGAGUGCCUGUGAUACUGUUAUACUUGAGUAUGGUAGAGGNUUGGCGGAAUUUAGGGGUGUAGCGGUGAAAAUG
rnacentral:rRNA from 1 species